rnacentral:rRNA from 1 species
CCCCUAGUAACUGCGAGUGAAGCGGGAAAAGCUCAAAUUUAAAAUCUGGCGGUCUUUGGCCGUCCGAGUUGUAGUCUGGAGAAGUGCUUUCCGCGCUGGACCGUGUAUAAGUCUCUUGGAACAGGGCGUCAUAGAGGGUGAGAAUCCCGUCUUUGACACGGACUACCAGUGCUUUGUGAUGCGCUCUCAAAGAGUCGAGUUGUUUGGGAAUGCAGCUCAAAAUGGGUGGUGAAUUCCAUCUAAAGCUAAAUAUUGGCGAGAGACCGAUAGCGAACAAGUACCGUGAGGGAAAGAUGAAAAGCACUUUGGAAAGAGAGUUAAACAGUACGUGAAAUUGCUGAAAGGGAAACGCUUGAAGUCAGUCGCGUUGUCCGGAACUCAGCCUUGCUUUUGCUUGGUGCACUUUCCGGAUGACGGGUCAGCAUCGAUUUUGACCGUCGGAAAAGGGCUGGAGUAAUGUGGCACCUCCGGGUGUGUUAUAGACUCUGGUCGCAUACGGCGGUUGGGAUCGAGGAACGCAGCGCGCCGCAAGGCAGGGGUUCGCCCACUUUCGCGCUUAGGAUGCUGGCAUAAUGGCUUUAAACGACCCGUCUUGAAACACGGACCAAGGAGUCUAACAUACCUGCGAGUGUUUGGGUGGAAAACCCGAGCGCGUAAUGAAAGUGAAAGUUGAGAUCCCUGUCGUGGGGAGCAUCGACGCCCGGACCAGACGUUCUCUGACGGAUCCGCGGUAGAGCAUGUAUGUUGGGACCCGAAAGAUGGUGAACUAUGCCUGAAUAGGGUGAAGCCAGAGGAAACUCUGGUGGAGCUCGUAGCGAUUCUGACGUGCAAAUCGAUCGUCAAAUUUGGGUAUAGGG